rnacentral:sRNA from 1 species
GCAGUCACGUCGUUUGUGACUGAAAGCUCACACUUGUGAGUGUAAUAACAUGAAGAAGGAAUGAUCGAUG